GUGGCUGCCCCAGGGCGCGGGGGGCCAAGGGGGACCGGGGGGACCCAGCACGGCCACCCCCGGGUGGGCUCGGAGCGGGAGGUGCGAGGCUCUUCGCAGUUGGCGUCAGGCCCUUGGUGGGCCUCGACUGUCCCCAUGGCGGCCACAGGGCCCAGGAGCUCAUGGCAUGGCCGCCGGGCCGGGCUGUGGCGGUGAGGGGCGGUGGUGACCUGCUGUGGCACUGUGGGCCUCACCGCGCCUCACACACCGCCAGGCCCAGGCUCUCUGGUGUGUCAGGCCAUGACAUGGUGCUCCUGCCUUAGCGCCACCAGGCCAGAGCACCCAGCACGCACCAGGUGGUGUGUCACCUCCAUGAUCGCCCACCUCGGGACACCCUGCCGUGACCCAGCACCGACAGCGGGGCUGCCCCGUGGAAUGGAUCCAGUGAGUGGUGUGGGACAGACCAGGAUUGUGGCGACUUCCCUUCAGGAACACUCCAGAAGUUGCCAGGUUGGACUCACCGCCUUCCCGUUGGAGAGGCCCAAGUCCGUUCACUUUUAAUUACGUACUGCCGUGGUGUCUAGAAGCGCUUCCUUCCUGUGCUGAGUCUACUGCGCGGGGGUUUUGAAGGCAACGUGGAGUAUAUUUGAAGGACGUUGGGUCUGUUCUCUUCAUUGGAAUCAGCCUGAGAAUAUAGCCCAAUCUGGUUUCUGUUUGUUGUGCCUCUGCUGUAUCAGUCAUGAAUGAACCAUUAUGUAAUUUUUUAGUUAAUUUAACAUUUGUUGGUACAACUGUAAAACAGCCAUGUUUUUCAUGUUGGAAGGGAUGGUUUAUAUUUGACCACAUUUUUCCUCAUCUGGUGUUGAUCAAAAGUUCAUAUAAGGGUUCUUUCUACAGACUCUGAGGACUUAGUCCCAUGAAGAUUUGCAUAUCUCUUUAACCUGAAAUACCUGAGAGGUCACGUUUUGGUUGCAAAAAUCAGUGUAACCUUUCAAGGUUAAAGCCUAAAUAUUUAAAGCUUUGUAAUGUUGCCUGUCAUUUUCAUGCUUUCCAAUAAUUAAGACACUCAAAACAUGAGCAAGGCAUAGGCCUAUUAAGAAAAAAUUUGAAACUAUGCGUAAGAUACAGAUUGUUGCCUUUUUGUUGUGCACAAUGUCAAACAUUACCAGCACCCACAAGCAGUCGAUAAGAACAAUGUGUUCCUUUCUCCUUACUACUCAAAUAAUCAAACUGCUAAUUAAAACUUUGUCUUAAAGAGAAA